rnacentral:rRNA from 1 species
UACGUAGGGCGCAAGCGUUAUCCGGAAUUAUUGGGCGUAAAGAGCUCGUAGGCGGUUUGUCGCGUCUGCCGUGAAAUCCCGGGGCUCAACCCCGGGCGUGCAGUGGAUACGGGCUGGCUAGAGGCAGGCAGGGGAGAACGGAAUUCCCGGUGUAGCGGUGAAAUGCGCAGAUAUCGGGAGGAACACCGGUGGCGAAGGCGGUUCUCUGGGCCUGUACUGACGCUGAGGAGCGAAAGCGUGGGGAGCGAACAGG